GGGUUGUGAGGUUAAGCGACUAAGCGUACACGGUGGAUGCCCUGGCAGUCAGAGGCGAUGAAGGACGUGCUAAUCUGCGAUAAGCGUCGGUAAGGUGAUAUGAACCGUUAUAACCGGCGAUUUCCGAAUGGGGAAACCCAGUGUGUUUCGACACACUAUCAUUAACUGAAUCCAUAGGUUAAUGAGGCGAACCGGGGGAACUGAAACAUCUAAGUACCCCGAGGAAAAGAAAUCAACCGAGAUUCCCCCAGUAGCGGCGAGCGAACGGGGAGCAGCCCAGAGCCUGAAUCAGUGUGUGUGUUAGUGGAAGCGUCUGGAAAGGCGCGCGAUACAGGGUGACAGCCCCGUACACAAAAAUGCACAUGCUGUGAGCUCGAUGAGUAGGGCGGGACACGUGGUAUCCUGUCUGAAUAUGGGGGGACCAUCCUCCAAGGCUAAAUACUCCUGACUGACCGAUAGUGAACCAGUACCGUGAGGGAAAGGCGAAAAGAACCCCGGCGAGGGGAGUGAAAAAGAACCUGAAACCGUGUACGUACAAGCAGUGGGAGCCUCUUUUAUGGGGUGACUGCGUACCUUUUGUAUAAUGGGUCAGCGACUUAUAUUCUGUAGCAAGGUUAACCGAAUAGGGGAGCCGAAGGGAAACCGAGUCUUAACUGGGCGUUAAGUUGCAGGGUAUAGACCCGAAACCCGGUGAUCUAGCCAUGGGCAGGUUGAAGGUUGGGUAACACUAACUGGAGGACCGAACCGACUAAUGUUGAAAAAUUAGCGGAUGACUUGUGGCUGGGGGUGAAAGGCCAAUCAAACCGGGAGAUAGCUGGUUCUCCCCGAAAGCUAUUUAGGUAGCGCCUCGUGAAUUCAUCUCCGGGGGUAGAGCACUGUUUCGGCAAGGGGGUCAUCCCGACUUACCAACCCGAUGCAAACUGCGAAUACCGGAGAAUGUUAUCACGGGAGACACACGGCGGGUGCUAACGUCCGUCGUGAAGAGGGAAACAACCCAGACCGCCAGCUAAGGUCCCAAAGUCAUGGUUAAGUGGGAAACGAUGUGGGAAGGCCCAGACAGCCAGGAUGUUGGCUUAGAAGCAGCCAUCAUUUAAAGAAAGCGUAAUAGCUCACUGGUCGAGUCGGCCUGCGCGGAAGAUGUAACGGGGCUAAACCAUGCACCGAAGCUGCGGCAGCGACGCUUAUGCGUUGUUGGGUAGGGGAGCGUUCUGUAAGCCUGUGAAGGUGUGCUGUGAGGCAUGCUGGAGGUAUCAGAAGUGCGAAUGCUGACAUAAGUAACGAUAAAGCGGGUGAAAAGCCCGCUCGCCGGAAGACCAAGGGUUCCUGUCCAACGUUAAUCGGGGCAGGGUGAGUCGACCCCUAAGGCGAGGCCGAAAGGCGUAGUCGAUGGGAAACAGGUUAAUAUUCCUGUACUUGGUGUUACUGCGAAGGGGGGACGGAGAAGGCUAUGUUGGCCGGGCGACGGUUGUCCCGGUUUAAGCGUGUAGGCUGGUUUUCCAGGCAAAUCCGGAAAAUCAAGGCUGAGGCGUGAUGACGAGGCACUACGGUGCUGAAGCAACAAAUGCCCUGCUUCCAGGAAAAGCCUCUAAGCAUCAGGUAACAUCAAAUCGUACCCCAAACCGACACAGGUGGUCAGGUAGAGAAUACCAAGGCGCUUGAGAGAACUCGGGUGAAGGAACUAGGCAAAAUGGUGCCGUAACUUCGGGAGAAGGCACGCUGAUAUGUAGGUGAAG
rnacentral:rRNA from 1 species